rnacentral:RNase_P_RNA from 1 species
GAGUUGGCCGAGACAAUCGCUGCGUUGCUUUUAUGAGUAACGGGGAGGAAAGUCCGGGCUCCGAAGAGCAGGGUGCCAGAUAACGUCUGGGCGGCGUGAGCCGACGACAAGUGCAGCAGAGAGGAUACCGCCAGAUACUUGUAUUUGGUAAGGGUGAAAGGGUGCGGUAAGAGCGCACCGGGCCACUGGUAACAGUUGGUCGCAAGGUAAACUCCACCCGGAGCAAGAUCAAAUAGGGUUCCAUAUGGCGUGGCUCGCGUUGGAACCGGGUAGAUUGCUUGAGCCUGUGAGCGAUUGCAGGCCUAGACGAAUGAUUGUCGCUUCCGCAAGGAAGAACAAAACCCGGCUUAUGCGGCCAACUCAGAC